UAAUACGUAGGGUGCAGGCGUUAAUCGGAAUUACUGGGCGUAAAGCGUGCGCAGGCGGUUUGCUAAGACAGGUGUGAAAUCCCCGGGCUUAACCUGGGAACUGCGCUUGUUACUGGCAGGCUUGAGUGUGGCAGAGGGGGGUGGAAUUCCACGUGUAGCAGUGAAAUGCGUAGAGAUGUGGAGGAACACCGAUGGCGAAGGCAGCCCCCUGGGCUAACACUGACGCUCAUGCACGAAAGCGUGGGGAGCAAACAGGAUUAGAUACCCUGGUAGUCCACGCCCUAAACUAUGUCAACUGGUUGUCGGGGAAGCAAUUCCUUGGUAACGAAGCUAACGCGUGAAGUUGACCGCCUGGGGAGUACGGCCGCAAGGUU
rnacentral:rRNA from 1 species